rnacentral:rRNA from 1 species
CGGACUCCUACGGGAGGCUGUUACUAGGAAUCUUCCGCAAUGGACAAAAGUCUGACGGAGCAACGCCACGUGAGUGAUGAAGGUUUUCGGAUCUUAAAGCUCUGUUGUUAGGGAAGAACAAGUACCGUUCGAAUAGGGCGGUACCUUGACGGUACCUAACCAGAAAGCCACGGCUAACUACGUGCCAGCAGCCGCGGUAAUACGUAGGUGGCAAGCGUUGUCCGGAAUUAUUGGGCGUAAAGGGCUCGCAGGCGGUUUCUUAAGUCUGAUGUGAAAGCCCCCGGCUCAACCGGGGAGGGUCAUUGGAAACUGGGGAACUUGAGUGCAGAAGAGGAGAGUGGAAUUCCACGUGUAGCGGUGAAAUGCGUAGAGAUGUGGAGGAACACCAGUGGCGAAGGCGACUCUCUGGUCUGUAACUGACGCUGAGGAGCGAAAGCGUGGGGAGCGAACAGGAUUAGAUACCCUGGUAGUCCACGCCGUAACGAUGAGUGCUAAGUGUUAGGGGGUUUCCGCCCCUUAGUGCUGCAGCUAACGCAUUAAGCACUCCGCCUGGGGAGUACGGUCGCAAGACUGAAACUCAAAGGAAUUGACGGGGGCCCGCACAAGCGUGGAGCAUGUGGUUUAAUUCGAAGCCAACGCGAAGAACCUUACCAGGUCUUGACAUCCUCUGACCAUCCUAGAAUAGGACGUCCCCUUCGGGGCAAAU